rnacentral:rRNA from 1 species
UACGGAGGGUGCAAGCGUUAUCCGGAUUCACUGGGUUUAAAGGGUGCGUAGGCGGGUAAGUAAGUCCGUGGUGAAAUCUCUGAGCUUAACUCAGAAACUGCCGUGGAUACUAUUUGCCUUGAAUAUUGUGGAGGUGAGCGGAAUAUGUCAUGUAGCGGUGAAAUGCUUAGAUAUGACAUAGAACACCAAUUGCGAAGGCAGCUAACUAUGCGAUAAUUGACGCUGAGGCACGAAAGCGUGGGGAGCAAACAGG